UCGGAUUUGGUCUCACAAUCCCUCUAGACCCUUGGGUAACCAUUGUUAACGGUGCAAUAUCCUCAUUCGAUUCUUGGUUGUCUCGCUGAUCAUCUUCAUUUAUCGACGGGCAUUCAUCUGCUACUGAUGUAAGUGCCAGUGAUGAGUCCUCUGCUUCCGUAGGUUGAAACAUCGACUCAGUUUCUGUCGAGUCUUCCUCGUGUGAUCGACUCGGAAUGGAACUCUAGUCGUAUUCGUAUUCUUGCACCGGUUGGCUGUUGAGACUUGGGUCAGAUAUUGAGCCGAAGUUGUCAGCCAUAAUUGGUAGGUUUAGUUCCACC
rnacentral:lncRNA from 1 species